CCCAUACAUAUUUGAAAGCCAUGUUCACUUCUUUUCCAAUAUUUCUAACUUGUCUUCUAAUUCAUGCAGGGAAAUUAGUGGGUGAUUAUAAGGAGAUAUAUGAAAAUUUCUUGCUUUCAUCAAAAUCAUCAUCAUAUUCCUCCUCCUCCUCGUUUUUUAAGUAUAUGAGUUUUUUUUUUUCCCAUAAGAAGAGCCGAUGAAGGCGUUUUGGUGAUGUUGCUGACAGAAGAUAGAGAGCACAGAGGUUGAAAUGCAUAAAGGAACCAUGGCAUCUCACUCCUUCGUGCUCUCUGUCUUCUGUCACCACACCCUUCUGUGUCUUCGCUCCCAUUUUGUUUUGCCGAUCAGAAUAAUGGUAGAUCUGAUCUGAAUGGCAUAUUUUAAUUGCCUGUUUUAAAUUAUUCUUUUAACCAGGCUAGAUUAUUAUUGUUGUUGCUUACCCAUAUGAAAUCAUUUUUAAAAUAAAAUAACUUCAAUUGUGGCUUGAUCUAGUCUUAUAUUGAUCCAUAAAAGAUUAUAUUAAGUGGUUUAUGGUUGAUUGCUAUAUAUUUUCUUUUUUCCCCCCUUUAACCUUACAUCCUUGUCCCUUGUUCUUAGUGUUAUGUUUAUGUUUUGAUUUUAUUUUUAUUAUAGAUUACUGAUAAGCUAGAAGCCAAAUUCAAGCUGCUAGUUGCCAGAAGAUUCUUUGAAUAUUUUUUUCACCAAUUAAUAAGAUUCUUUUGAAAUUUGUUUCUCUUGGAUUGCAGUUUCAUUGAGCCUCCCAUAAGCGUCAGCUCUUUCGUCAUCCGAAUUCUUUGAUCCCAACAGGAUCACGUCCUGCCCAUGAACAUGCUUCUAAAUUGGUAAGGUUUAAGUCAUUAAGUUGUAAAGCUCUUAUAUUGUAUCAUUAUUGUUUUGAUUUUAAAAUUAUAUUAAUGAUUGUUACUUUUGUAGCAGAAAGAGAAAGGAAAGAGACCUAUGCUGUCUGAAGAGCAUAAGGCAAUACACAAUAAAAAAAGAAAGAUGAUCAAUUGGUUGAUGACAAAUCCAAAAAUGCAUAAGUUUAAUGUUAAAAAUGAUAAGUAAUUUAGUUCUUAAUUUAUAUCUACUUACUAAUUAGUGAAAUUUGAAUUUUGUUAGAUUAAGUAUAAAUAUAACAUUCAAAUCCAUCUAUUUGGACAAUCAAUUGGAGAAGAUGAGCAACAUGGAGAUUUUGAGAAUGUUGCAACGUUUGAAAAUGAAGGUGGAGGCCAAGAUGUAAAUGUUGAUGAUGGAGACUUCAUUGAAACUCAAGCUUCUCUCUCUCAAGAUCAAGUGGCUCAAGCAAGAUCCUUCUUCAAGGUAUCAUAGUUUGCUAGCUACCUAUGUGGGCAGUGCUUAGAGUUCUAUUGCUUUGUUUUUUAUUGUUGGCUCGUGAGGCAUAAGAAGUCCGCUCUAUCAAUAGCAGAAACUAAUCUCCCCUAGAAUAUUAAAGGCACAAGGUAACCUUCUCUCGACCAAGUUACUACAUAUAUAAAAACAGAACUUUGUAUCCCCAACAAUCCAAGUGACGAGAAUUCCUACAUGCCAAACUGAAUUGGUAAAAGUGUUAUUGCUUUUGUCUAUGUAGUUUAUAUGUUCCAUAGCCUUCUAUUAAAAAAAUGCUGAGACCAACAAACGGUUAAAAGCAACUGGCUUAUAUCAUUAUAAAUUCCAUAAUGGAUUUCAUAGCUUCUUUUUUUCUACUUCAAAUAACAAAAUAAUCUUUAAUGAAUGAAACAUAUGUUGAUAAACAAAACAUCAGCAAUUGUUUCUUAUCGCAUCACUGUAAGUAUUGCUUGAUUAUUGAUUUCAUCAAACAGGAAAACGCAGACAAAAACAGACCAGAAGAAUACUAAAGAAAGCAAGAUUCAAAAUAGCCAAAUUAACGUGCAGUUUAUUUCUACUAUUGCAAACCGUGAAGAAAAUAACUGCCAGAACCUAGUCAUUGAGAAUCUGUUUCAACAAUCAAAACCAAAUUGAAAGCACCACACAGGGAUUCACUGAAAGAAACUGGGUUUCAAAAAUCACAACACAUAUGCCUGUGUAUAUUAAUCAUCAUAUCUAAAUGUCCCAUCCAAUUUCAGAUGGUUGAUAGCAGCUGUAGAACUCAAGCAUCCAUGUUGAUGGAAAUCUUGUUCAUUUCCUUUAGAGUAAAAUUAUAAGGAUUCAAAAAAAAAAAUGUUUCUCUAUACCAGUAAAAUUUACGAUUCAUGCUCAUCUGGUUGAACAUGAUCAGGGGGUGCAUGUUGCACUUCUCCAUUCUCAUUAAUUUCAGAUGGGUGCUCAGUUGGAGGAGGCUGCUCUGCAUUUUCAUUAUUAUUCUCUGGAUGGAAAUUGAUGGGGAACUUAGUAACCCUAGGUUUAUCAGAUAAUAUGUUCCUUUGAACCUUAUCAAUCAAAACCUUUGGUGGAGGUUCCUCUCUUAGGUGCUCAUCCUCACAGUCAUUGCUCACAUAUUUUCCCACUUUGACAAAUUCCUGACCCAGAUAAGAGCAGGUCAACAGGAGCACUGUGACCCCAACAAUAUCUUCUUCACGAAUCUUUGAUGGGUUUGGUGGAUCUGCCUGCAAAAUGUCAAAAAGAAUUUCCAUAUCAUGUUGCAAUUAUAUCACAAAAUCCAUGAGUAAUACUGUGCAUGAAGCUUGCCUGUAAUACAAAGCGAUAGUUUCCAA